rnacentral:rRNA from 1 species
GAUGAACGCUAGCGGCAGGCUUAACACAUGCAAGUCGAGGGGCAGCAUGGGACGGAGAUUCGUCGAAGUCCUGAUGGCGACCGGCGCAAGGGUGCGUAACGCGUGAGCAACUUGCCCGCUUCAGGGGGAUAACCGGUGGAAACGCCGACUAAUACCCCAUAGUAUUGAUUUAAGGCAUCUUUUAUCAAUUAAAGAAUUUCGGAAACGGAUAGGCUCGCGUGACAUUAGCUAGAUGGCGGGGUAACGGCCCACCAUGGCUACGAUCAGUAGCCGGUCUGAGAGGAUGAACGGCCACAUUGGGACUGAGAUACGGCCCAGACUCCUACGGGAGGCAGCAGUGGGGAAUAUUGGGCAAUGGGGGAAACCCUGACCCAGCAACGCCGCGUGAAGGAAGAAGGGCCUUCGGGUUGUAAACUUCUUUUACCAGGGACGAAGGACGUGACGGUACCUGGAGAAAAGCGACGGCGUAACUACGUG